UCCCCCGUGAGGGGGCAGUCUCGCCUGACAUUUAAAACAGGCAACGAGGGUUGCGUUCGUUACCCCACUGAAGGGAACAACUCAAGCCACGAACUGACGACGACCAUGCAUCACCUGCCCACCCGCCUUUCGGAGUCCUAGUUUCCUAGGAAUGUCGUGUGGGUUUCAAACCCUGGUGAGGUUCUUCGUUUGUCAUCGAAUUGAGCCGCAUGAUCCACCGCUUGUGCAAGUCCCCGUCUAUUCCUUUGAGUUUUAAUCUUGCGAUCGUACUACCCAGGCGCCGAACUUAACGCGUUAGCUUCGCCACAAAGAGGGUCGAUACUCCUUAUAGCCAGUUCGGAUCGUUUAGGGCGUGGACUAC
rnacentral:misc_RNA from 1 species